UUGACUGGCCCCACAUGGAGCCUGAAGUCUUCUGUUUAGCCUCAGAACAGAUACAGCAUGAGCAGUGGCAGUCUGAGGCUCCUCCAUAAUGCCCACUAAUGUUCAGGAUCCUCCCAUAGAAGGACCAAAUCCUGGGGCGAGAUUAGGCGCUUUACUAUUUACCCCCAUUCAAUCAUAGUCCUGU
rnacentral:sRNA from 1 species